GUGCUGGCUUAUUAGUCAAGAUGGAUGGGGAGGAAACCUCCAUCAUCCUGGGUAAUUAUAGUACUGACAGCUGGCCUCUGUUGGUGACCACUGCUCAGCACAUGGCUCAGUCAGGAGACGAUGCUGCUCACAGAGCAUCUGAGGCAAGGCAAGGGGGAACUCGCUUUCCUCUCAAAGCUUCAAGGCUGAGUUUCCAGCUUGGCCUUGGCUUCGGGAGCCAGAACCUUGCAGCUUCUUGGCAGUGAAACAGCUUUCAGAUUUCUAUUUUUAAAAGUCUGGGGAGUGUGUCAUUUGGGGGAUCAGGCAGAAGCCUUGUCCUGGCAGCAACCACAGAGCAACUGUGAAACCCAAAUGCCACGCAGGACCCACCCAGCAACUCUGCUCCACAGUGGACAGGAACAGCAGAGGAAUGGGGACCCCAGCACCUUCCUACUGGAGGAAACAGCAUGUGCUCCGGACUCCCAGCCCCAAGCAGUCAGAAGCAUGGCUACAUCACUUUGCAGCCUCAGGUCAGUGUCACCGGCCCAGUGGAAGUAGAUAAGAAGAGGACAGCAGAUGCGGUGUUUCCGGUUUUCUCCAAGACCCUCAACGUUCCUUGGACUUUUCGUGGUUUGGAUCCUGAAGGGCUACGUGCUAAAGGCUUGGUCUCCAGAUGUCCUACGCUGCUCUCUGUUACUGCAAUAAAGACCACGACCAAAAAUGACUCGGCGGGGAAAAGUUUAUUUGGCUUACAUCCUGACCAUGGUCCAUCAUAAAGGGAAGUCAGUGCAGGAGCUCAAGGUAGUGGCUGAAGCAGAAAUUAUGGAGAACUGCCGCUUACUGGCUUGCCCCAUACGUCUUGCUCAGUUUGCUUUUUAUAUAAUUCAGGACCAGCUGUCCAGGGGUAGCACUGCCCACAGUAGACUGGACCCUACGACAUCCAUUAUAAACCAAGAAAGCAGCCCACAGAUUUGCUUACGGGCCAAUCUGAUGG
rnacentral:lncRNA from 1 species